rnacentral:ncRNA from 1 species
GGAGCCUGUAGCUUAAUUUAACUCUACACGGGAGACCUCACCUUGACCAGACACAGACAGGAUUAACAUAUUGAUAGCUCUUUCUUGAAUUCAUGGGUGGUGGUGCAUGGCCAUGCUUAUUUGGUGGAGCGAUUUGUCUGGUUAAUUCCAAUAAGGAAGGAGACUCUGGCAUGGUAACUAGUUAAGUGACCCCGGAGUGGUCAGCAUUCCCAACUUCUUAGAGGGACAAGGGCAUUCAGCCACCUGAGAUUGAGCAAUAACAGGUCUGUGAUGCCCUUAGGUGUCCGAGGCUGCAUGCACACUACACUGACUGGAGAAGAGAGGGGGAACUUGGAUAGGAAUGUAAAAACUAUAUUGCUAAAAAGAG